AAGAUAGCUGUAUCCCAAUAACGUCUUGUCUUUUCAAUGCACCAGCACAGCUCUUAAUAGCAGAACCCUUCAAAUCCCAUAAAAUCUUUUAGCCUUCUGUUACACAUUUCCAAAUGACCAUUUCAUUUCAUCAAUCUGGAGCCUGUGGUCUUCUCCUUUCCAGUAUUCUCCAAACAUGCUCAGGAACUCUUCCAUCCAGGUAAUGGCCUUCAUUUACUUUCAACGCUUCCUUUGCAAUCACAUGAGCAAAGAUGUUUUCUGACUUUGGAAUAUGGUGGAAGUGUAGUUUUUGGAAGAAAUGCUUCAUAUCUUGAAUUUUCUUAUUAUAGCUCCAAUAAUUGAGUUAUAUCUGUCUGUAUUCUGGCAUUUUUUUUAUAACAGUUCUUGAAUCUCCAUUUAUGUCGCAUUCAUGAAGACCCAAUAAAAUUCCUAAUCUUACUGCUUGUUCUCUUGCAUGUGCUUCCGCCGCAAAUGGUGAGGCAACAUUUUCAUGAAUGACCGAUUUUGAGACCAAAAUAUCCCCUCGCAUGUCUCUAACUAGCAACCCCGAUGCGGAUCUGGAGAGUUGUUGGUCAAAAGCCCCAUCAAAAGAAAUGACUACCCUCGUCCACCAAUCUUCAUGAGUAAAAACCCUUCCUAUAUCAGAGAUAAGUAGUUUCUCUUCUAAGCUUUGCAACUCUGAAAUAUAACUGCUUAUUUAUCGUGAGAUCUCUCUGCUUGUUCUAUUUUUACUUUCAUAAAGAAAUUGGUCCCUGUUUGACCAGAUAAGCCAAAGCCUACAGCAAAACAAUCUGUACUGCUCUCUUGUUCCUUGAUUAAAGACCCAAGUAAACCACACCCAAAUGCCCUGAAUAUUAUUAUUAAGCACCCAAGAGAAAUCUAAAUACCUCCAAACUUUCGUCGUUGUAGGACACAUUCUAAAAACAUGAUUGCUAUCCUCCUCAAACUGUUGACAUCUGGGACACCAGACUUUAUUUGUAACUAGCCUCAAUUUAAGAUUAGCAAGCGUAGGGAUAUAAUUCCAGGAAACUUUCCAAAUUGUAACUUUAAUUUUCUAAGGGAUGUGUAAACCCCAUAGUUUUCUGUAGAAAGCUACAUUUUCAGCCUGUAUAAUAUUAUUACUAGGAAUCCGAGUAGUCUUUUGUAAUAGCUUAUAGACAUUUCUAACCGAAAAGGUGUCUGAUGGUUCUCCACCCCAAACUUGGAAAUCAUCAUAUACAGACCUUGCCAAAGGGAUCAGCAGAAUGUUCUUUGCAAUACCCGUAUCAAAGGUAUAAAAAUUAGAUCCGCUUUCCAUGUUCUACUUUCUUCCUCAAUCAAAUCUGAGACUAACUCAAUAUCUGCAUUUCCUCUUUGGUGCUGUAACGUAUUCUCUUCAUAACCCGGUAUCGAAAGAUCGUCCCAGAUAGAGAUAUGAUCCCUAUUUCCAAUUCUAUAGCACAAGCCUUUUUCCAGCACUCCUCUAGCUGACCAGAUGCUUUUCCAGGUAAGUGAAGGUAGGUUCCUUAAUUGCGCAUUCAAAAAACCUGUCGACGGAUAAUACUUGGCUUUCAAAACUCGAGCUAACAACGAAUUUGGAUAAGUAAUUAAAUGCCAACCCUAUUUAGCUAGUAACGCGAUAUUCAAUUUGUCAAAUUUUCGGAAUCCAAUACCUUCUUCCCCCUUGAAAGAACAUAAAUCCUUCUAGGCGCACCAAUGAAUUCCUUUCUUAUCCCUACUUUUUUGCCACUAGAACUUUGCUAUUAAUCUCUCCGAUUCUGUACAAAGGGACUUAGGAAGUAGAAAGUAUGACAUAGAAUAAGUUGGAAUGGAUUGAAGAACCGCCUUAAUGAAAACCUCCUUAUCUCCUUGAGAAAGAUGUUUAACACUUUAAUUAUCUAUUCUCUAUUGCAGUCUAUCUUUCAAAUUUUGAAAAGAUGCUUUCUUCCUUCUCCCCACUAAAUUAGGCAAACCUAAGUACCAUUCAGGAUCAGUUGAGCAAUGUACUCCAAGCACUCUAGUUACUAAACUUAUAUCCCUUUCUUGAGUAUUAGCGCUGAAGAAAAUAGUAGAUUUGGAAUAAUUAACCUUCUACCCCGAACAGUCUUCAUAUUCGUGCAAAAUCUGCUUUAAUGAAAUCGCCCCUCUUUCUGUAGCUUCGCCGAACAGAAUGCAAUCAUCCAUAAAUAAUAAAUGUGAAACCUGUGGACCGCUUCUGCUCACCUUAACUCCAUGAAGAAUUUUAUUUUUCAUUGCUGAUCUCAUAAGACUAGAUAGGCCCUCCCCACAAAAUAGAAAUAAAAAUGGGCUCAAGGGAUCUCCUUAUCUAAGGCCUCUAGAAGGAUUGAAAGUGGAAUCAAUAAAUCCAUUAAAAACUAUCGAAUAAGAAACUGUAAUAACACAUUUCAUUAGCGAAUCUACCCAAUCGAAGUCAAAUUCCAUUUUUUUCAUUACCCUUUCUACGAAGCUCCAUUUGACCCUGUCAUACGCCUUGCUCAUAUCUAAUUUUACUACCAUAAGACCUUUCUUCCUGACUUUUUUAUGCUUCAGAGUAUGAAGAAGUUCAUAAGCCAGAAUCACAUUAUCAAAAAUCAAUCUCCCUGGAACAAAAGUACUUUGUGCUAAAUCAAUACACUUGUCUAUCAUAGAUCAGAGAUGAUUAGCAAUAACUGUAAUAGGCCCAAUUCGCCCGGCCCACAAUAAAACCAAAAGUAAAUUAAAAUAAAAUAAAUAAUAAUUCCAUAAUGUCCAAAUCUUUACAAACCAUCAGUCCCAAAUAAUAAAAUUAAAAGCAGCCCAAAUACAUUUUCUAACCCAAUUGAACAAACACCCAAAUCCCCUUAACCCAAUUACAUAAAAUUUGACCCAAUUAAAUAAAUCCUAAAACCCAAUUCUAAUAGCCCAAACCCGAGGCCCAAUACACCUAAAAAGGAGAACAGCAGCUGAGAGCACCAAAAGUUUCGGGAAUAUGCCAGAAAGUUGGGCUCCCAUGAGUUGCUCCUCGCACGGCCUCCUUCGCACGUUUCCCCGCUCCUCCGUACAACUGAGCCUGCAAAAGAACACACCUGAAGGAGCCAAUAACAGAAUUCACAGCAAAUGACAGUAGGAAAAUAGGAUUUUAAAAUCCUUUAUUUAUUUUGUAAAUCUGGCUAUAAAAGGCCAUUGAUGUAAUCCUUUAAUUUUUACGCACACAGUACGCAUAUUACGCACACCAGAUAUCAAAAAUAAAGCAUUUCACAAGCAUUUUUUAGAGGUGAUUUUCUGUUUAAUAAUUGCUUUUUAGAAUUCGGUUGAAUGACUUCAUUUUUUAUCUUUCAUUAUUGUAUUAAAAAAUAAUAGAAAGAAAGAGAGAAGAUAUCUCACCUUAUGGAUCGGCCAUAGAUCCCUCUUUGCUUCGUCAGACUUGAAGUUGAAAAAGAGGUCUCAAGGCCGAAAAUUAUCAUCAAAAGGCCACAUCUGUCGGUUGUCAUUUAUGAAGGAGGAUCGGCGCUGGUGUUAAAAGGGGAAUCUAACGGCGCCAUUCACCGAUUGUGAUGUUGAAAGCGGCGGCCGAGUGAGAGCAAAUCUCUAGGGUUUUUUUUUCCCUUUUCAAUCUGCCCUGCCGAAAUAAGCUUUUAGAAGCUGUUUUUUCCCUUUCAUUAGCACCAAGGGACGAUGCCGUUUAAGGCAUGGAUCUGUAGCCUUAAAACGACGCCGUGUAGGCCUGCCCAGCCUGAUCUGGCUCCUUGACCCCUAGGAUCCGCGUGUUUCUGUGGGGAGGGAUAAUUGUGUAAAAGACCCUUCUCUUCAUGCGAGUAUUCAAUUGCGUUUUAUCUGUUUACUUUGUAUUUUUAAAAUUUGGCUAUAAAAUUUGUGCAUGUUCUUAUUUUAAUAUGCGGUACGGCACAACGUUUUGGGCUUGGGAACAUUUCCAAUUCCAGUCCUCGCACAUUUGUGCGCAUGGCACAUUGAUCCUAUUUUACAAUUAUUUCAUUUCUAAAUUGCCCA
rnacentral:lncRNA from 1 species